AGGUCACCUGUGAUCUUCAUGCUGCUAAACACAAAGCGCUGUGCUAGCAGGAAGGUCUGUGAAGUUUGCAAUAAAGCCAUUAUGAAGUCAAGAAUGGAGGUUCCAUUUUUAAAGAACUCAGAGGGGGUAGAUCUUGAUUGACAUCUCAUCUGGGGUCACCUGGUCUUCAACUGAGAGAUCUUUUGGUUCGCCACGGAUGCCCCUUGCAGUUAUGGAAGCUUCCCUGACCAGAGGUCGUUUUGAGUUUCCUUCUCUGGAAUUUGACCACUGAGCAGAGACACAUAGGAGAGAAGACGUGAAUGCUGAGUCAUCAAUCAGCAUCACUGGGAAGAAAAAGCCUCUCAGUUUCUUCUGCUGGGACUCCCAGAGCUGGAGUAUUUUCUGCUCUUCCUAAGGCCUGAAUCUCACCUUGUCACCCAGGCUGGAGUGCAAUGGCAUAAUCUCAGCUCACUGCAACCUCUGUCUCCCAGGCUCAAAUGAUUCUCCUGCCUCAGCCUCCUGAGUAGCUGGGAUUACAGGCGCCCAUGGACUACCAGCUUUUUAAGUAGACUUUUUAGCCAAAGGCCAAGGGAAACUACCCUCUUCCUACUGGGGUUCAAAUUGAUUAAAAUGGUUUGCUUUGACUUUU
rnacentral:lncRNA from 1 species